UACAUGGGGUGCAAACGUUGCUCGGAAUUAUUGGGCGUAAAGCGCGCGUAGGCGGUUAUCUAAGUCGGAUGUGAAAGCCCUCGGCUUAACUGAGGAAGUGCACCCGAAACUGGAUAGCUAGAGUACGAAAGAGGGUCGCGGAAUUCCCGGUGUAGAGGUGAAAUUCGUAGAUAUCGAGAGGAACACCCGUGGCGAAAGCGGCUCUCUGGGACGGUACUGACGCUGAGACGCGAAAGCGUGGGGAGCGAACAGG
rnacentral:rRNA from 1 species